UAGAUUUUCCACAACCUGUCCUGGAAUUGUAUCAAAAUCAUCUUCCAAAAGAUACUGACGAAUCGAGUCCAAGAGGCUGAGGUCAAAAUUUGAAGCACUAUCACAGUACAUGUUUGUCUGUUGCUAGAAACGACUUUGACGCUUUGAGACUGGCAGGUAUGGAUUUGAUUUCAAUGGUUCCGUUGAGUUUCUAAAAUUUGCUGUUUGAUUAUAUAUAUAUAUAUAUACCUUGAAACUCUGGGUAUUAAAAUAUGGUUAUUUGCUUGCUAUUUCUGUUUUGUUUAGACAAUUCCAGGAAGUUGCUGAUGGCAGAGAGCCGAAAAUAUUUUCAUCACGUUUUUGAAGUGCUGCUACUGUUCAUUUAUUUAAUUUACUUUUAUACUUUGCAUUGUUUAUUCAUUGAACAUUUAUGGUGACAAAAGCUCCAUUACUUCAUAUUCCAUAAUUGUCCAUUUAAGAAUCAAUGAAUAAACUAAGAUUAAUUCUUAUCCA
rnacentral:lncRNA from 1 species